GAAAACGGAAUAUUGAAGAGAUGGGGAAAUGGUGUGACCUGCAGUUGCCAAUUCAUGAUUUGAUGGCUUCGAGGCUCAGCCUCAGUGCUAUAGUACUGACAAGGAAGCUGAGGUUUGGAGGUUAAGCGACUUGUCGCCUGCUGAUGAGUGAUGACAAUCAGGCUGUCUGCCUCGGGCCACACCCUGAGGCUGCUAGGCAGUGUCUGCUGAGACAAGGCCAAGGCGGGCUGCUCGCUCUGGGCAGACCCACUGGGGGCCUGUGGAGCUGUCUGCAGUCAGCAGAGCUGGUAGUGAGCUCUCUCUCCCCAGCGGGGAAGUCAUCAAGAAAUCUCCCAUUUUCAUCUUCCUGCAGGCACGUCUCCCUAGAGAGGAGUCUCCCUGGGAGGAUGCUAGGUCCCCUGUGGACCCUGGGAGUUCCUGGAGGAUGUCCCUGCUCCGUGACUACUGGCGAAGUUCCUCCGGGGUUAUCCGGUCCUCGCCAAGCCCACCUCUUGCCUUUCAUUUCAACUCUGAAAUAUGCACCAGGCAAAUUCCACAAACAUUGACGGAACCCUUGCCAAGGUCCAGAACCAUGUUGAGGAAUUGGUCCACAUUUCCUCAUUUAACCCUACUGUAAUCCUCAGAGGCCACUUUAUCAUUUCCAUUUUAUAGAAAUCCAGAGGAGUGAAGAGGACUGUUCCAGGCAACUUGGCUAAUAAAUAAAAUUAUUACGCCUGCAAUUUAUUGGGCAUCUACGA
rnacentral:lncRNA from 10 species